rnacentral:ncRNA from 2 species
CUCUUAUCAAGAGAGGCGGAGGGACUGGCCCGAUGAAGCCCGGCAACCGCCAGCUCAGGCUGGAAAGGUGCCAAUUCCUGCGAAGAUGGUUCCAUCUUCGAGAGAUAAGAG